GACGAACGCUGGCGGCGUGCUUAACACAUGCAAGUCGAACGGAAAGGCCCCUUUGGGGGUCCUCGAGUGGCGAACGGGUGAGUAACACGUGAGUAACCUGCCCUUGACUUCGGGAUAACUUCAGGAAACUGGGGCUAAUACCGGAUAGGAAUCCUUGCUGCAUGGUGGGGGUUGGAAAGCUUCGGCGGUUUUGGAUGGACUCGCGGCUUAUCAGCUUGUUGGUGGGGUAGUGGCUUACCAAGGCUUUGACGGGUAGCCGGCCUGAGAGGGCGUCCGGCCACAUUGGGACUGAGAUACGGCCCAGACUCCUACGGGAGGCAGCAGUGGGGAAUAUUGCACAAUGGGCGGAAGCCUGAUGCAGCAACGCCGCGUGCGGGAUGACGGCCUUCGGGUUGUAAACCGCUUUCAGCAGGGGCGAAGCUUUUGUGACGGUACCUGCAGAAGAAGCACCGGCUAACUACGUG
rnacentral:rRNA from 1 species